UCUGUCCUGGAGCUCGAUCCAUAGAUCAGGCUGGCCUUGAACUCAGAGACCCACUGCCCUGCCUCCAGAGUGAGUACUGGGGAACUCCCAGUCCCCCCCACCUGGCUACUUUUUUAUUUAUUGAGACGGGAUCUUUGUGAUGCUCGGGGUGGCUGAAAACUCACUAUGUAGUUGAGGAUGACGUUUGAACUUAAAAAGAAAUUACAUUUGUUAUUGCGUGUGUGUUCCUGUCAUACAGCACCGGUGGAAGUCAGAGUACAACUUUUGGGAGGCGGCUACUUUCAUCAUGCGGGUUCUGUGAAUCCAGGGGUCGAACUCGGGUCCUCAGGCUUGGCAGCAAGCUCCUUUGCUUGCUAAGCCAUCUUUUGAUCUUUCUCCCUCUACUUCCUAAUCCCUGGGAAUACAGGCGUGCAUGGCUCCCCUGGGCUCCAGGGUGAACACUCACUGCCUCGGAGCUUCCCAUUGGACACCCAGGAUCUUAUAAACUUUGGGUGACAUUCCUGAGUACCUCAUGUGGUCCAGAAUUCUAGAUCCCCACUCCUAUACACACCUAUCUAUAUUGUUCGUCUCUUCCCUUUCCAGGUUGCAAAGCAGACAGAAAGAACAGCACAGACCCAGGCGGGCUCUGGCUGCGGGCAGUGGAAUUCCAGACUUCAGUUUGCACAGCCUGGACUCAUUAAAGUUGAAAAGAACCUGCUUGUGAUUUGAUUUUAGCCCUGAAGUGAUCCCAGGAAGGGUUGAGACAGGGGUGGGGAGGACCCCUAAGAUUCUAGCUGAAUUCCUCAGUCACAAGACAGAAGCCGCAGAAGCCCAGGCACACACUUGUGGCUGCAGCAGGUGACCUGAGUUUGUUCCAAGCCCUCCAGAGGCUGCGUAAUCCCUGGGAUUCCGGCGGCUGGCUGCCUGGAUGGCCAUGUUGGAAGUUACAUGAGCAAGUCUAGUAUGCUGGUGCAUGCCUGUCCUCUGAGCACUGCAGAGGCUAAGGCAAGAGCAUUGCUGACACUGGAGGCCAGCCUUGGACUAUGUAGUAAGCUCCAAACCAGCCACCCAGCCACAGGUACAGAGUGAGUCCCUGUCUCAAAAUAAACACAAACAGAUCCUCUAUUCCAACACACACACACAAACACACACGCGUAUUCCAGAAAUAAAACAAAAUAUUUUUAUAGGAUACAAUUAAGUGAGAUCAAAGUUCUACAAGCAUGCUGUUUUUUGGUUUUUAGAUUUAUAUAUGUAGCUGGAGCCCCUGGAAGUGAAAUUACUGAUGGUUGUGAGCCUUCAUGUGGGGGUUAGAUACCGAACCUGGGUCCUCUGCAAGAACAGCCAGUGCUCUCAACUGCUAAGCCAUCCCUCCAACAUUCUGCCCAGCCCAGAGCCCUUGGGAGGCAGAGGCAGGAGGAUCUCUGUGAGU